rnacentral:rRNA from 1 species
UACGAAGGGGGGCUAGCGUUGCUCGGAAUGACUGGGCGUAAAGGGCGCGUAGGCGGAUGGCACAGUCAGAUGUGAAAUUCCCGGGCUUAACCUGGGGGCUGCAUUUGAUACGUGUUGUCUAGAGUGAGGAAGAGGGUUGUGGAAUUCCCAGUGUAGAGGUGAAAUUCGUAGAUAUUGGGGAAGAACACCAGUGGCGAAGGCGACUUACUGGACACAUAUUGACGCUGAGGUGCGAAAGCGUGGGGGAGCAAACAGG